AUUGAACGCUGGCGGCAGGCCUAACACAUGCAAGUCGAACGGUAACAGGAAGAAGCUUGCUUCUUUGCUGACGAGUGGCGGACGGGUGAGUAAUGUCUGGGAAACUGCCUGAUGGAGGGGGAUAACUACUGGAAACGGUAGCUAAUACCGCAUAACGUCGCAAGACCAAAGAGGGGGACCUUCGGGCCUCUUGCCAUCGGAUGUGCCCAGAUGGGAUUAGCUAGUAGGUGGGGUAACGGCUCACCUAGGCGACGACCCCUAGCUGGUCUGAGAGGAUGACCAGCCACACUGGAACUGAGACACGGUCCAGACUCCUACGGGAGGCAGCAGUGGGGAAUAUUGCACAAUGGGCGCAAGCCUGAUGCAGCCAUGCCGCGUGUAUGAAGAAGGCCUUCGGGUUGUAAAGUACUUUCAGCGGGGAGGAAGGGAGUAAGGUUAAUACCUUGGCUCAUUGACGUUACCCGCAGAAGAAGCACCGGCUAACUCCGUG
rnacentral:rRNA from 1 species